AGAGUGCAGAGACAUCAUGCCGCCUAAGAUGUAAGCCAGCAGAAUUCCAAAAUUGAACCAGAAUCCUAUCAGACUUGCUAAUAUACCGCGGAUGCUGUCGCAUGAGAUCUCCGACACAUAGUUCGGCACCAUAAAAAAUACACCGGCGCCAGCGAUACCACACAGGGCUUUCGCUAUAUAAAUAUGUAUCACCGAAAGUAGCAUAGUCGUGAUGGUGCCUGCCAAGGUUAAAGUGGCACUCAUCCAGGAUAUAGCGUUAUCCGUCAUAGGUUCGCUUCCUACAGCUGGCGAUGACGGAUUCUGCAGUUGCAGAGCUGACGGUGAUUGCCAUCCCACCAUGAAUCCAUAGGACACCGCUGACAAAUUUGCUGCGAAGAGUAUAUGAUUAUUCAAUAUGAAAUAAUCAACACAAAGAUCUAAUAGAGACUUUUUAAUCAAAGAGGGCUAUCGUUCGUUAUCGAAAGUUUUCAACCAUGGAGUUCUAGCAUUUGCUGCUCAAGUAUUGCUUAUUGGAAGAAGUCAAUCCGUCACAAAGUAUAUUGUUGGGAGAAUAGAAAAAAAAGGGAGUACUUUUUCCCUUUUUAACUCACCGAUCACCGUGAAGACAAGCUGCCGCAACUUGCCUGGCU